GAUGAACGCUGGCGGCGUGCCUAAUACAUGCAAGUCGAGCGAACAGACGAGGAGCUUGCUCCUCUGACGUUAGCGGCGGACGGGUGAGUAACACGUGGAUAACCUACCUAUAAGACUGGGAUAACUUCGGGAAACCGGAGCUAAUACCGGAUAAUAUAUUGAACCGCAUGGUUCAAUAGUGAAAGACGGUUUUGCUGUCACUUAUAGAUGGAUCCGCGCCGCAUUAGCUAGUUGGUAAGGUAACGGCUUACCAAGGCGACGAUGCGUAGCCGACCUGAGAGGGUGAUCGGCCACACUGGAACUGAGACACGGUCCAGACUCCUACGGGAGGCAGCAGUAGGGAAUCUUCCGCAAAGGGCGAAAGCCUGACGGAGCAACGCCGCAUGAGUGAUGAAGGUCUUCGGAUCGUAAAACUCUGUUAUUAGGGAAGAACAAAUGUGUAAGUAACUAUGCACGUCUUGACGGUACCUAAUCAGAAAGCCACGGCUAACUACGUG
rnacentral:rRNA from 1 species